UAUCAAAACUGGGUCUCCUACGAACUAAAUGAAUAGAAUUGGGCUCAGUCACCUCACCCAGCUUUUGGUGAUCCCUGGAAGGGCAGUGAUUGCCCACUGAGGUGACUCCUGAUUACUUUAUUUCUCUACUACCAUGGGAUUUCACUGUGCAGUCACCUGUCCUAGAUACCGUGUGUCAUCUAUUCGCAGAUCUAGAUCCACAAACCCAUGGAUUCAGUGAGGCACAGACCCUGCUGCUGCCAUCAGUAACUCAGUGCCUGAGUGUUUAACGAAGUACAACAGGAACCUCUGGCUAAAUAAAU
rnacentral:lncRNA from 1 species